rnacentral:lncRNA from 1 species
UAAGUGGGGUAGAAGUUCACUACAUGCAAUCAUAACGCCGCCGCGCCAUUAAAAAAUGCAGUAAAAUAAAAACUACCCACGAAAUUGGCAUUCGUUAUAUUUGCCAAAAGCGGCAACUCAGCAUCUGCCGUUGUUUAUAAAUAUAUCGAUUGAGGUUAGGUUACCUAACCAUGCUUGCAAUUGCAAUUGCAAUUCGUAUGUUAGAUAGUUCAAAGUGAUUAUUUAGACUAAUUAUGACUAUCUGCCCGUGUUCUUAGUUAGUUUAUUAUUAUAGUAAUGAAGAGGAAAACUUGUUUCUGGUAACAUCACAUUUUACCUUCGGUGCAACUGUUCUUCAUGAUCAACAAAACCUGAGGAUGGGUGGACUUUUGUCAAACGCCAUGCGAGUACUGAAAACAUAUAACAUUGAGCAAAGAGCUAUGAACGCUUUGUCUGAAAAUCGUAAAGUAGUACCUCCUAAACACCCUACUACUGCACCGAUACUUGAACAAAUGAAAAUAGACUAUGCAGAGAAAAUGGAAGAACUACAAAGGAAAGACAAAGACUUGGACAAAAACCUUAAAAGCGUCUACGUCAAGUCUGUGCCUGGCUCUACAGGCCUCCCAAGAAAUGUAGACAUGUUGCCGAAACGGACACGAUAUGAAAGCCCUUUUGAGUAUGGAUAUCAGGAUCCGGAAACUGCCCCACCUGGAAGAUAUACUUUAACCCAGAUCAUACAAGUCUUAACAGAGUAUCACUCAGACCGUGACGAAAAUUCAGCUAAAAAUUAGCCAUAAAAUACAAUAUUGAUGAGAAGCACCUUAAUAAUAUUAUUGAAUAUUAUAAAUUAUUCAAACUUGGGCGUAGACCAGAUAAAAAAAGGACUUUGGUAGGUGUGCAAUGGUCAAAGGAAAAAGAAAUAGGAGUCAGAAAUAUCAAAAGGAUAUCACGAAGCACCACUCCUGUACAAACACAUGAUCUUGACAAUUAUCAGACGGCAAAGAAAAAGAAACGUGAUAUUACUAUUUUUAUUUCAUUGUAGUUUGUUUUUGUACAUAGGAAACUUUUUUUGUUUGUUUUUUGUGCUUUUCAGCAAUGUCAUUUCUUUUUAUGUUUUCUAAUGCAAUUAGAAUGAAAGAAUUAAGUUGUGCAGUGAAUUGAUACACCGCAGCAUGUUUCGAUAAAAUAAAAUCCUUUCUCUUUACAUUCGUUUUUGAUACCAAUCACUGCAAAGCAUCAAGCCUCUAGUCGUCCAGUCUCUUUAACUCACCUUCCCCCUCCAUCCUAAAUUAUGCAUCAGUAUUAUCUGGUAUUCUACCAAUAUGAGAAUGUCCUAUCAUGAUGGUUAUUUAGGCUGAGUUUAACAGACGCAUCAAGUUUUAAUGAAGGAAAAGAGGUUGGACGUUAUAUUCCUCCACAAGACUUAAUGUUAAGGACAGAGUUUAACAACUACUUUUAAUGUUCAAAAUAUUUUUUCUGGACUUUGAAUUUUUGACAGUGUAUAAUUGAUGACUAGUUGGAUACAAAACCACUCCAGACUCAUCUUUGCCUAAAGCAGCUUGAUGCGAUUCUUAUAAACUCAGUCCAUUUGCCCCUACAGCUUUCCUGAUUUCACUGUGCAAGUUUUUUCCCUUUUAAAGUUUAUACCCUUAUUUAUAUCAAAUCUUACAAGGCAGUCUUGCAGGACAUACACACAAGAACACUCAGACAAUUAUUGGUUGACUGUAAACUGACUUCAUGAUACCUUUUGGAUAAGAGGGCAGUUAAAAGGAAAGUAGUUGUAGAAAAGUAUAAAAUUUUAUUUCAUAAUUUCUCCAGGUUUCAAGGUAAAACAUCACUGUAGAUGAAAAUUGGUAAGGCGCAUUAGUAAGUUCUGGAUGAGGAUUCUUAAAAUUACAGAAAUCUACCAAUAUCAUCAACUUUUAAUGUUUAGUGUAUUUUUUUUUUUUAGUUCAAGUCAUUUUCAGAUGCCAUGAGUAGCUAAUGCAAAAUUUUGAAUGAUCCAGCGAUGGCAAGAAGGAAAUAGUUGAACCAUUCAGUUCAAAUGCAUGUAAAUGCAUAAAUUUGUAUGAACUCCCUGUCCUUGGAAAAUAUAGUCGAAUUUACUCCAGCUGUUUCAAAUUAAGGCUCAUUACAAUUAAAUACUUAAUUGCUAGGUUAUCGAAUUGAAUUUCAAUGGAUUUUUAUUUGCUAAACUAUCGAUUUUCUUUUCUCUGUCUCACAAAACUUAGAUGAAGAACAUAGAAAAAUAGAAUCGAACAAGUAGAAAGUCAGAAUCUUGGAGAGCAAACAACAUUGGAGAGGAAGUGAGAAAAUUCUAUCUUGUUUCUGACUUAGGCUAGAACAACAACCAGACCAAUAUAUGGACGCAUAUUUAAGUAAAAAAGAACUAAAAGUAUUGUAACAUGGGCUCUGUCAUGCGUGUAUCCUUAUGUGUCUUAGGGUCCAGGUCACAAUGGAGAUAGUUUUGUUUGAUUUGAAUACAUCUAUUUGAGCCAUGGUCAUCAUUGGUCAACAAUGCUAAAUUUAUGCAAACAAAAAACUUGUUUUAAAGGUAGGUACAAUUAAGGCAAUGAUGAACUUAAAAACAUUGAACACAUUUCUGACGAUUCUGGUUAAAUUUUUCUUGGGGGUGAGAGCAAAUCAAAAUAAAGAAUAUUUUACUUAUCAUGUUAAAAAUAAAAAAAAUUAAUGCUUUAAAUACACAACACCAAGUAUCAGAACUUCAAAUCAUGAUUUUCAUGUUUGCCAUUGGAUUUAUCUUUUACGGUACAAUACGUUUUUUCAUAAGUCCCUGAAUUUUACGAACAGCGGACAUUUUUGGAUUUACACAAAUUAAGGCACAAUGGAAUUUACUACAUCUAGUUUUCUCUUGAUGAAAAAGUCGAGGACAUGAUAUCCUCAAGCCGAAUGUGAUGGACUUCGAUGACGUCAUGAAAAUGUGUAUUCAAUUCCCCCCCCCCCCCCCCCCCAAAAAAGGUCCUCCAGCAGAAUGAGGUUGAACUUCGAUCCUAGCCUUUUUAAUCCCGUUUUUCUGUAACUGCGUGCACUAGAUUUGUGGCUGCUCAACCCUGUUCUACUGUUCACUUCAAUCUACUUUUCCCUUCUGAUUGGUGUUUCAUCAGAGAUAUGACGCAUUUCCUUACCAAUAUGACAAAACUUGUACACAAAAAGUUAAUACAAGUAGUUGACAAAUUGAAAUCCAUCACCAAAUAGACUGAUGUUAAAGCUUGUAUUGCUAAAGAAUAAAGAUACUCAUUUUAUGGCACUGCCCCUUCAUUGAGUCAGAGUGUGACAAAGUCUCCAAAAAGGAGACUUUGUUUAUGUGCACAAAAAUAUACAAUGCCUGAGAACUUGCUUCUGAUAACAGAAGGCAAUUCAUGUACUAAAUCUAGGCCAAGGAAAGUAUCUUGGAAUUAAAAACAAGAACUGUACAUGGAGUCUGAAAAUCAUGAAACACGACUAGAUUAGUUAUUUUGCUAAUUCGUUAAUUUGCCAUUAAAUACAGUUUACCUGGAAUAAACAUUAGAAAAAAAUUAAAUAAACAUAAAAAACCUACCAAACAAUAAAAUGGACAUUAAAAUUAGUUCAUAGAUCAAAGCAAGUUGUUAAUUUCUCUGAGAGGGAUACUGAAGGUACAAAGAACCCCCUUAGUACUUAGUAGUAUUUAAAGGGCAACUUUUAGGUGCUAGAAAAUACUUCUGUGGCAACAGAGCUUUUGAUAUUUUUCAAACACCAAGAUGAACUAAUACUUUACCCACAGAUUAAAGAAUUGCAUUAAAUUUAACAAUGAGAACUGCUGAUCGAAACUUGAAACAGAAUUUUACUUUGUUACGUACAUCUAUUCAACUUUCAUCACUUUGUAGGACUGUUGAAAAACUGACUUCACUUCUCAUAUCUUACUUAAAAAACGCAAUAGGUACUGCAAGUCAAUAAAUGAAAUUUUUUCUCCUCAGAAGGGACAAAGUGAAAUAUUUAAGCUCGUGGAAAUUUAGGGAAACAUUAAUCAUGAGAGGGCAAUGCAAGACAGAGAGUGUCUGCAAGUUUUAAAAAAA